rnacentral:lncRNA from 1 species
CCGUUUUAGGUUUGGGUCAUAGAGAGGAGGAGGAGGAGGAGGUGGUGGUGGUGGCGGGAUCCCUCAGUGUAUCAGGCUAAAGUGCCGAGCAAUUUGGACUGUUUCUGAAGAUGAGACAAUUUUUCCACAAGAUUUAUUUCAUCAGAGGGGAAUAUUUCAUCUGCUCCUCGGUGUUUGUUGUACGGCUUCUCUUCUAUUCUCCCCUUGUGUUGUGUAAAAGCUCAGGUGUGUGUAGUACUGUUUCACAAAGAUGGACAAUUGUUGCUUCUUAUACCACCUGAUUGAUUAAGGAAAUAUUAGUGCACUUUUGGCUACAUGCUGCUUGUCUCAUUUCUCUAGGGAACAUACUAUCCUCUUUUUAAAACUUUUUUCUGCAUGUCUUCGGGUUCAUCAGCUCGUCUGACAUUCAUCUCCAUCAUUUGUCAUUGAAUCCCCGACAUAAUUCCACUUUAUCUAUAAUUACUGUUGGGCUAGACAGCAGUCAAGAAACAAUGCUACUUCUAAACCUUGCAAGGUUUUCACCAGAAAUCUAAUUUCACAGCGGAGCCCUAAUUCAUCGCUCCCAGAAAAACCUCUUUCAUCAAACUUUGCAUAUGAGCAGCCAAGUGAUGCACAGGCUCUUAACGGCAUGCUUUGCCUCCUUUGGUGAGUUGGCCAACCAAUCCAUCUUCCUGAGUGUGCUCGGAGCCGAGAAGUGGGCAACCGAUGCUCCCGUCACUGGGCUCCUGCGGGAGAUGGAUUGGGGCUCCAUUGCCCACCUCCAGUCCAGUACCGGCCCAGUGGCACAAUCUGGACCUCGGUGCUGAGAGCCACGUGGUGGGCCUUGUGGGGCUCUACGAGGGGGCUGAGAGAGGCAGGAUGGAGGAUGCUGUGUCUCAGUCACUCAUGUAGAAUCCAGAUCCUCUGCUCCACAGGAGACGGAGCUGGACCUCCUGUUUGUGUUGCUCGGAACAGAGUGAGGGUGUCCAAGUCAUUGCCUGCCUGUGUGCAGUCGCUAAUGCAGGCGUUUUAUCUAUGACAAAAUGUCAAACAAUAAUGAGAUCAUCAGCAAAAGAGAAGAAAACUUACUGACACACUUUGACUUCUUUGGCGUAAUAAAAGGCAGGAAUUACUUUCUACUUUAAAAUGUCUGACCUCAUCUCUCGUCGCGUCCUUCAUUGGCUUUAAGUCACUGAACCGUCUGACGGGAAAACAAAUACAAUAAGUGAUGGCCCUGAUUCCUCUUAAUUUGAUACACCGUUUUAAAAUGUACAUCCACCCUUAAGAGCUUGUCCUUCAGCUGGAGGAGGAGUUCAGUUUCAUCCCGUCAUAUCGUUCAUUCAUGACUGCCUUUGAAACUGAAGUGAAAGCUUCUUUUAUUAAUCACAAAGAGCUCAAGUCAAGGCUUUGCACUUCGUUGCGUGCAUCCAAUUUACAGCAGCGAUAAUUCAUGCUAUGCUAAACAUUUCUUGUAAAAUGUCACUUUGUGUUUGUAAUUAAUUUCUAAAUUAAUAAGCAGUAUUUCUGAGUUAUGGCAUCAAACCUUUUACCUUGGUCGCUAAACAAUGCAUCAAGGUGGAAUGAUGGAGGUGAUAAUAAGAAUAAAACUCCGCUGAGACAUAAACUUGGCAGGUCGCCUCAAAGUAGAGCGCUGCAACUAAAGGUGUGUAAAAAUGGAAAUGGUUAAACACUUUUUUUAAAGCCUCUGGAAAAUUCACUUGGAUGGUUAAAAAGUUUACAGAAUCUCAAAGCUGCGUGAGUUUUGGUGAAUUUGUCUCAGGCAGAGUGUCUGUGUGUGACUUCAAAUACUACCUCCUACCGGCUGUGUUUAACUACCGAAUGUGUAGCUAGUAGGUUGGCAUUUGAUGGGCAGUAUUUGAAUGAGCUACACAUUGGAACAAAAAGUGCAUGUUGCUGAAUUCAAUCGAACACUUAGGGCAUGAUCUACUAAGAUCCCAAAUAGUGAACGCUAAAUUGCAUGUGCAAACCAAAAAAUUGCACAGGCUAUUAGUGGGCGUGUUGCGUGUGAUUUGCUAUCAUUGCGUGUGCAAUCGAUAAUAGGAGCAAAAGUGGUGUGGACCACCCUCUUUAAACAAGGAUUUUGCGCACGCUAUCGGCCGUCACCAUGGAGAGUUCGUGAGAGCAGAGUGAUCGUAGAUGAAAAAUUAAGUUUGAAGCCAUGGAGUUGCACCUAUCUUUUUGGGGAAGCCAGCAACUGCAUAAAAGGCAAGGGAGGUUUAUUUGUAUAGCACCAUUUAUACAAUAUAUUUGAAAUAUAAAAAAAAAAUUCAACCGAUUUAAAAUCACUAAGACAAAGAGAUAAUUUUUUGCGACUGUUACGUGUUUGACUUUAUUAGUUAUCAAUAUCGUCAUUUACUAAAAAAAACGCUUUUGCACGUUUGCCUCCUUCUCCCUGCGGGCAGAAGUGGCUGCAGAUUUGUGCGUAACUGUGCUAGUUUGCACGUGCCUUUCAAAUGUGCUAAAUAUAGACACAAAAAAGUGAUCGCAAUCGUUUUCCAGGUUUGAUAAAUCACAUUGCGGGUGCUAAAUGAUUCUAUUUGCAUCUGCUCCUCCCAGGAUUUUGCGCGGUCUGAUUAUCUACAUACAAUCUGCGUAUUCAUGAAGGCAAACACGCUAAAUGGAUUACGCGCUGUUUUGCUCAUUAAGCAGACGCAAUCCUUGGCGCACCCGGUUAGUAGAUCAGCUUUUCGCGCGCUGUCAAGUUUGCAUGUGUUUUUGCACACGCAAACCUUUAGUAGAUCAGGCCCUUAAUGUAGAAACCUUUUCUCUAUGGGAGCUCCCCCAAAGCAGACUAGGCCUUUUAUCCCAUCAUGUUUUAUAUCUAGAUUUUAUGGAAUAAUCUUGUGCACAUCUUAUGUUUUUGUUUAGAUAAGAUAAAGAAGAAAGAAGAAGAAAGAAAGGCUUUGUAGGGUAUGAACAGAGAGCUACCACAUUCACAGAGUAAGGUGUAUGUGUUUUUUUGAAUGUCCAAGUUUGAUCAAGUCCAGUUCAGGAGAGUCAACAGAAACUUAACAAGUUAGAUAAGUUAGAAAGCAGGAGACAAAUGAUUCUUUUUAGAGUUGCUCCCUUUCAUUUAAAAAAUAUUGGGAAUCACCAAAAAAAAAAAACGUGACUUCACUCUCCUCUUUCACAAAUUAGCUCUGUCACUCACUGUUGUCUUAAUCUCGCCACUGCCCAAGGUGGCCUGGUCCAUAGGGCUGCGAGCCCUGCUUACAAGUUGGGGGCUGUGUGUGUUAGGUUACCUCCUAUAUGGGGUAUCGUGUGUCCUUCAUCUAAUGCAAGCUAUGGGCCCUUGAUCAAAAGGAAGCUAAAGAGUGGGGGGUCAGACAUGAGGGCAAAUACACCUGUCACACACACAGAACAGGUGCAUACAUCUCUGCUUAUAAAUCAGAUCUAUUCCAUUAACUCUGAGCUUUAUUUCUAGAACAACAUCAGAGGUGCUGAGGGUUCUGGUUUGAAGGAUCUUGAUCAAAAGACUUUAAUAUAAUGUAAACUUUUCAUUAAGGGUUUUCCUUCUCUACAAGUGUCCCAUCUCCGCUCCUUCAGUGUUACUGAUGGUAACAUCCAUAACCUGUCCUCUGAUAUUUCAUUCCCAUACGGGUGCCAUGAACCUAAGAUGUAAUCGAUACACAGACACACAGGCCUCCUGUGUUAUUACAAGGGGGACAAUGUCUGCUCAGCUUCCCGUGCCGUUACACAGUUCAGGCUUCCAAUUAACCUGAGCGGAUCCCCAUGCCAAUCACACGGGGCUUCUAUCGACAAGCCGCAUGAAAAGAAUAAUGUUGUUAGGAUGAUGUAGCUCACGGUAGGAGGGCUGCCCCCCCCCCACCCCUCCCAGUGCUGACAGGGAUGAGAGUUGUAGUCAUUUAUCACCUCCUCUCUGGUCACUGAGGGGCCAAACGGGGCCACACGCCUCUCACACUCAGCUUGUGCUUCAUCAGACCACAAUCUGAGUAAAUCUGAUUACAGUAACUAAGCCGGGAAAUGUAGCUUGAUUCAACAGUGAGAACAGACUGCCAAUUUUUUUGAGUAUAAUUGAGGGAAUGUGGCUAUGAGGAGAAAGAGCUGAAAAACUGUUUUGAUUUAUACAAAAGGACAUGACUCAGAGGAUCAUUUCUGACCUUUUUUGAUGUCUUAUUCCAUCUUAUUGCAGAAAUUUCACUAUCUGUGUUAGCUCCCCCAAAAUUAUUGCUUUUUUCUCGUAAUAAACUCACUCAAAAUGAUCUCAACUCCAAAUUGAUCAAAAGUUAGCCAGGACGGUUGAGUGUUGAAGCUGUGUUCUGUUUGAUGAAAAUGUCAUACAGGCACAAUAACAGUAUCAUCCUGUAGUUGUGAACACACCUGUUUAUUUGUCAGCAGUGACACUUUUUUAUAAAUCCUGUCUGAAAACAGAUGUGCUGUAACAGUUGGACUGGGACGAGAGAUCAAUCCAUUUAUUUUUCCCCGUGUCUGCCGAGAGACAACAUACAAAUUGAGACUGUAUCUAAGUUACAAUAGCAGCCAAGUGUGGCCCAGCAGGAUUUCAAGAGUGAUGGAGAGUGUGUUUAGACGCUCAGGGCCAAACUCUAAAAGCAUUGUUACAUUGACAAGGCCGCAGCAGAGGAAGAAUGCCUCUUCACAUUUACUCCCCCUUUCUUGGGCUUUGCUGCCAACGGCGACUCUGAUAUUGAUUAUUGUGAAACAAAAAUCAGCUCAAGGAGCACGAUCAUUAAGACAAAUGCGGUUCCACUCAAUGCCAAACACACAAAGACCUGAAAUUCUCUGAGACUUCUCAGUGUCAGACUUCGGAAGAUACAGCGCAGGCCAGUC